UCUUGGUUGUUUUCCUUUGAAACCCAGGAAUUUUCUCAUUUUGUUAUGAGACUCUGAUUCUUAUUGAAACCUUCUGCUUGAGCUGGCUUUUUUUCCAACACUACUCCAGCGGGAAAAGGGGAUCACCACCUCAUUAUUGCCAAUGGAAACAGAAGUCCAGGUUCUUCACUCAUUAUCUGUUGAAAUGGGGACUCCUCAUUAUUGCUGGGUGGGAGUGAUGUUCUGGCACCACACACGGUCUCCACUGGCACUGUAGUCAGGAUGGCCUUGUGACCACUUGGCAACAGCGAGAAUCCCAACUUACCUCUAGGGUUCUUGUGUUGCCAUGCCAGCAGGGAGAGAGCAGGCAUGCCAGGAGAGCAGAAAUCGCCCUGGUGGACGAAACACCCAAGUGAAAGGAUAGGAGGCUUUAAGAGUACUAGGAGCAGUGUGGCUCCAGGAGAGGACACCCGCUGCUCACUGGCUGUCAGCGGCCUAUUCUCGGGAACAUUUUACUGACGCUUAGAGAAAUUAAACACGAAGGUGGACUUUUGCUAUGCUUCUGUCUUUCUGCACCACCAGCAUGGAAACAGAUUUUGACGGGCCCGGGAACCCCGUUGCGAAUGGGGGCCCUGAGCCCCAAGCCUCCUGGGGGAGCCACAGCCGCAGACUUGUGACUAUCCUCCAGGGGUCACACUUGGGUUACAAAUCCCUUGCAGCGCACUGACUGAGCAGCCUGAUUGGGAACAAUUUAUUCGAAUCCUUCUUCAUUAAGAUUCAAAUGGAAUAAGUAAGGUAGAAAUUGAACAGACACAGAAAUUGUGCCUUCCUGCUCCCGUAGUCAGUAAACAUUUAUUCGCUAA